rnacentral:rRNA from 1 species
GGUUCCGUCUAAGAGGAAGUUUGAGUCCUGGCUCAAGAUUGAACGCUGGCGGUAUGCCUAACACAUGCAAGUCGAACGAGGGUAGCAAUACCUAGUGGCGGACGGGUGAGGAAUACGUAGGGAUCUGCCUUUAAGUGGGGGAUAACCCGGGGAAACCGGAUUAAUACCGCAUGAUCUCGCAAGAGCAAAGAGGGGGACCGCAAGGCCUCUCGCUUUUAGAGGAACCUACGUCGGAUUAGCUAGUUGGUGAGGUAAUGGCUCACCAAGGCGACGAUCCGUAACUGGUCUGAGAGGAUGAUCAGUCACACCGGAACUGAGACACGGUCCGGACUCCUACGGGAGGCAGCAGUGGGGAAUAUUGGACAAUGGGCGAAAGCCUGAUCCAGCAAUACCGCGUGUGUGAAGAAGGCCUUCGGGUUGUAAAGCACUUUAAGUUGGGAAGAAAAAGCUUCACCUAAUACGUGGAGCCUUGACGGUACCGACAGAAUAAGCACCGGCUAACUCUGUG